GUAGCUGUUCGGGUCGUCCGGAUCGCUGGUCAGGAUAUUCUUGAUCGUCGCCGGCACGAUCGUGACCUCGUUGAGAUCGAAGGCCGUGCGGAUGUAGUUAUAGAGGCGCGUAUCGGCGACAAGCUCGCUGACGGUCGUGAUGCUC
rnacentral:sRNA from 1 species